rnacentral:rRNA from 1 species
AGCGAACGCUGGCGGCAGGCUUAACACAUGCAAGUCGAACGGGCGUAGCAAUACGUCAGUGGCAGACGGGUGAGUAACGCGUGGGAACGUACCUUUUGGUUCGGAACAACCCAGGGAAACUUGGGCUAAUACCGGAUAAGCCCUUACGGGGAAAGAUUUAUCGCCGAAAGAUCGGCCCGCGUCUGAUUAGCUAGUUGGUGUGGUAACGGCGCACCAAGGCGACGAUCAGUAGCUGGUCUGAGAGGAUGAUCAGCCACAUUGGGACUGAGACACGGCCCAAACUCCUACGGGAGGCAGCAGUGGGGAAUAUUGGACAAUGGGCGCAAGCCUGAUCCAGCCAUGCCGCGUGAGUGAUGAAGGCCCUAGGGUUGUAAAGCUCUUUUGUGCGGGAAGAUAAUGACGGUACCGCAAGAAUAAGCCCCCGGCUAACUUCGUGCCAGCAGCCGCAGUAAC